ACAGAUGGAAGUAAAAUUGACGGAUUCA
rnacentral:sRNA from 1 species